GGCGCUAUAGCCAAGUGGUUACGGCGACAGAUUAGAAUCUUAAGUCAUUCAUCUGUUCCUCUUUGAGGGCGCAGGUUCAAAUCCUGCUGGCGUCG
rnacentral:tRNA from 1 species